GACGAACGCUGGCGGCGUGCCUAAUACAUGCAAGUUGAGCGCUGAAGGUUGGUCCUUGUACCAACUGGAUGAGCAGCGAACGGGUGAGUAACGCGUGGGGAAUCUGCCUUUGAGCGGGGGACAACAUUUGGAAACGAAUGCUAAUACCGCAUAAAAACUUUAAACACAAGUUUUAAGUUUGAAAGAUGCAAUUGCAUCACUCAAAGAUGAUCCCGCGUUGUAUUAGCUAGUUGGUGAGGUAAAGGCUCACCAAGGCGAUGAUACAUAGCCGACCUGAGAGGGUGAUCGGCCACAUUGGGACUGAGACAUGGCCCAAACUCCUACGGGAGGCAGCAGUAGGGAAUCUUCGGCAAUGGACGAAAGUCUGACCGAGCAACGCCGCGUGAGUGAAGAAGGGUUUCGGAUCGUAAAACUCGGUUGGUAGAGAAGAACGUUGGUGAGAGUGGAAAGCUCAUCAAGUGACGGUAACUACCCAGAAAGGGACGGCUAACUACGUG
rnacentral:rRNA from 1 species